UACGUAGGGACCAAGCGUUGUUCGGAUUUACUGGGCGUAAAGGGCGCGUAGGCGCUUAACAAGUCACUUGUGAAAUCUCCGGGCUUAACUCGGAACGGCCAAGUGAAACUGUCAAGCUAGAGUGCAGAAAGGGGCAAUCGGAAUUCUUGGUGAUAGCGGUGAAAUGCGUAGAUAUCAAGAGGAACACCUGAGGUGAAGACGGGUUGCUGGGCUGACACUGACGUGAGGCGCGAAAGCCAGGGGGAGCAAACGGGG
rnacentral:rRNA from 1 species